rnacentral:rRNA from 1 species
AAACCGGAGGAAGGUGGGGACGACGUCAAGUCAUCAUGGCCCUUAUGUCCUGGGCUACACACGUGCUACAAUGGCCGGUACAGAGCGCAGCGAGGCCGCGAGGCGGAGCGAAUCGCUUAAAGCCGGUCCCAGUACGGAUUGGAGUCUGCAACCCGACUCCAUGAAGUUGGAAUCGCUAGUAAUCGCGCAUCAGCAUGGCGCGGUGAAUACGUUCCCGGGCCUU